GGUUAUAGUUCAGGGGUAGAGUGCUCGCCUCACAUGUGUGAGGCACUGGGUUUGAUCCUCAGCAUCA
rnacentral:tRNA from 1 species